CUUUACUGUAGCUUGGUAUUGGGUUCGGGCUUUGACUGCGCAGGAUAGGUGGGAGGCUGAGAGCCAUUCCUUGUGGGGAAUGGGGAGCCAACGGUGAGAUACCACUCUGUCAGAGCUAGAAUUCUAACCCGUCGCCGUUAUCCGGCAUGGGGACAGUAUCAGGUGGGCAGUUUGACUGGGGCGGUCGCCUCCUAAAAGGUAACGGAGGCGCACAAAGGUUCCCUCAGGCUGGUUGGAAAUCAGCCGAAGAGUGUAAAGGCAGAAGGGAGCUUGACUGCGAGACGUACAUGUCGAGCAGGGUGGAAACACGGUCUUAGUGAUCCGACGGCACUGCGUGGAAGGGCCGUCGCUCAACGGAUAAAAGUUA
rnacentral:rRNA from 1 species